AAUCAACGCUGGCGGCGUGCCUCAGACAUGCAAGUCGAACGAUUAAGACUCCCUUCGGGGAGUGCAUAAAGUGGCGCACGGGUGAGUGACACGUAAGUAAUCUGCCCUCGAGUGGGGAAUAACACCGGGAAACCGGUGCUAAUACCGCAUAAUGCAGCGGCACCGCAAGGUGACAGUUGUUAAAGGAGCAAUCCGCUUGAGGAGGAGCUUGCGGCAGAUUAGCUAGUUGGUAAGGUAAUGGCUUACCAAGGCUACGAUCUGUAACCGGUCUAAGAGGACGGUCGGUCACACUGACACUGAAUAACGGGUCAGACUCCUACGGGAGGCAGCAGUCGGGAAUUUUGGGCAAUGGGCGAAAGCCUGACCCAGCAACGCCGCGUGAAGGAUGAAGUAUUUCGGUAUGUAAACUUCGAAAGAAUGGGAAGAAUAAAUGACGGUACCAUUUAUAAGGUCCGGCUAACUACUGCCAGCAGCCGCGGUAAUACGUAGGGACCAAGCGUGUUCGGUAGUUACUUUAC
rnacentral:rRNA from 1 species